GACGAACGCUGGCGGCGUGCCUAAUACAUGCAAGUAGAACGCUGAAGAGAGGAGCUUGCUCUUCUUGGAAGAGUUGCGAACGGGUGAGUAACGCGUAGGUAACCUGCCUUGUAGCGGGGGAUAACUAUUGGAAACGAUAGCUAAUACCGCAUAACAAUGGGUGACCCAUGUCAUUCAUUUGAAAAGGGCAAAUGCUCCACUACAAGAUGGACCUGCGUUGUAUUAGCUAGUAGGUGAGGUAACGGCUCACCUAGGCGACGAUACAUAGCCGACCUGAGAGGGUGAUCGGCCACACUGGGACUGAGACACGGCCCAGACUCCUACGGGAGGCAGCAGUAGGGAAUCUUCGGCAAUGGGGGCAACCCUGACCGAGCAACGCCGCGUGAGUGAAGAAGGUUUUCGGAUCGUNA
rnacentral:rRNA from 1 species